CUGUGACACUCUGGAACGGUUUAUAUUUCUGACUCUAUUUUUCUGCCUCUUUCACAGAUGUGCAGUUUCUGCCAUGUGUGUCCUGUGUGCCAAACCCUUUGCCAGCCUGGGGGUUUUCUUGAUGAAGUGACUGGAUCAAUCUACAAGACUGUAGCUGAUGUCUUCGAUGAUGAUGAUGACAACUGAACCCAACCAUAUGUUGCCACCAUGUGGCCAAACUAAUAGGUUUCACCUUCACUUCUGAUUUUCAUUGUUAUUUUUGUCUUUUCCUUGAGAACAUUAAACAUUUCCUCACCAAUGACUGAAUAGAAAUUGUUGUGUUGAAUAACUUAAUAUAUUUGUGUACUGUUGUUAACUGACAGGUCUACGUUGUACGAAAUAUUUGAAGUCAUAUUUGGGAUAUGUUAAAUAAAAAAGAGGGGACAUUUCCACUGA